UGCAAGUCGAACGGUAACAGGUCUUCGGACGCUGACGAGUGGCGAACGGGUGAGUAAUACAUCGGAACGUGCCCAGUCGUGGGGGAUAACUACUCGAAAGAGUAGCUAAUACCGCAUACGAUCUGAGGAUGAAAGCGGGGGACCUUCGGGCCUCGCGCGAUUGGAGCGGCCGAUGGCAGAUUAGGUAGUUGGUGGGAUAAAAGCUUACCAAGCCGACGAUCUGUAGCUGGUCUGAGAGGACGACCAGCCACACUGGGACUGAGACACGGCCCAGACUCCUACGGGAGGCAGCAGUGGGGAAUUUUGGACAAUGGGCGAAAGCCUGAUCCAGCAAUGCCGCGUGCAGGAUGAAGGCCUUCGGGUUGUAAACUGCUUUUGUACGGAACGAAAAAGCUUCUCCUAAUACGAGAGGCCCAUGACGGUACCGUAAGAAUAAGCACCGGCUAACUACGUGCCAGCAGCCGCGGUAAUACGUAGGGUGCGGGCGUUAAUCGGAAUUACUGGGCGUAAAGCGUGCGCAGGCGGUUAUGUAAGACAGAUGUGAAAUCCCCGGGCUCAACCUGGGAACUGCAUUUGUGACUGCAUGGCUAGAGUACGGUAGAGGGGGAUGGAAUUCCGCGUGUAGCAGUGAAAUGCGUAGAUAUGCGGAGGAACACCGAUGGCGAAGGCAAUCCCCUGGACCUGUACUGACGCUCU
rnacentral:rRNA from 1 species